UAGGAACGCUUUCAAUAAUGAUUCACAGU
rnacentral:piRNA from 1 species